UACGAAGGGGGCUAGCGUUGUUCGGAAUCACUGGGCGUAAAGCGCACGUAGGCGGCUUUUUAAGUCAGGGGUGAAAUCCCGAGGCUCAACCUCGGAACUGCCUUUGAUACUGGAGAUCUUGAGUCCGGAAGAGGUAAGUGGAACUGCGAGUGUAGCGGUGAAAUUCGUAGAUAUUCGCAAGAACACCAGUGGCGAAGGCGGCUUACUGGUCCGGAACUGACGCUGAGGUGCGAAAGCGUGGGGAGCAAACAGG
rnacentral:rRNA from 1 species